AGGACGACGCUGGCGGCGUGCCUAAUACAUGCAGGUCGAACGGUCUUUCUAUGGAAGCUUGCUUCCACUGAGAAGAUAGUGGCGAACGGGUGAGUAACACGUGGGUAACCUGCCCAUAAGAGGGGGAUAACAUCCGGAAACGGGUGCUAAUACCGCAUAGUUUUCUUGAUCACAUGAUUGAGAAAGGAAAGACGGCCUUUGUGCUGUCGCUUAUGGAUGGACCCGCGGCGUAUUAGUUAGUUGGUGAGGUAACGGCUCACCAAGACGAUGAUACGUAGCCGACCUGAGAGGGUGAUCGGCCACAUUGGGACUGAGACACGGCCCAAACUCCUACGGGAGGCAGCAGUAGGGAAUCUUCCGCAAUGGACGAAAGUCUGACGGAGCAACGCCGCGUGAGUGAAGAAAGGUUUUCGGAUCGUAAAACUCUGUUGUCAGAGAAGAACAAGUUGGAGAGUAACUGCUCCAGCCUUGACGGUAUCUGACCAGAAAGCCACGGCUAACUACGUGCCAGCCGCUGC
rnacentral:rRNA from 1 species